AAUGGACCUCCAACAAGCAACAUCCCUGCUGUCAUGGAAGCUUAUGUUGCCCCCCUGAAAGAACCAGCUCCCACCGUGAAGCCCUUGAGGCCCAAGUGGGGAGGCGCAGACUACUGCGCCAGAUGCUCUAAGCAAGUAUUCAUGGCUGAGCGCCUGAUGGCCGCAGGAGGAGCCUGGCACAAGGCUUGCUUCAACUGCCGAGAAUGCCACAAACGCCUUGAUUCACAUUCUAUCCGUGAGCGUGAACAGGACAUUUACUGUAACCCCUGCUAUGGAAAGAACUUUGGCCCAAAGGGAUACUGGGGUUGGUCAUCUGCCAAGGUGUCCUAAUUGAUCAAGAAAAUUCUGUCGAAAUUUAGCAGCAUAUGCUUCAGAUCUCUAAUAUCUACAGAAGCUUACCUAAACUAUAGAUACAUUUGGCAUUGUCAUUUUCAUGUUUUGUCCUUCACGCAUACAAAAAAAUGUGGUACCAAUAAUGUUUGAUCCAGUUGAUUUUCCCUCCUUUUGGGAGUCCCCAGGGGCCAACUGCAGCAGGGGAUCCCCGGCAGACGUCCAGUUCUUCAUCUGCCUAUCAUUCUCUACAUGAUCCUGUACUUCGCAAUUGGUACCAAGUUCGUUUGACCAAACUCCCUUGGCUGCCGGUCUAUAUGCACAGUACAUCCCAUCACUGUGGCCAUGCCGGUGAAGCUGGAAGUACAGACUCCAAAGCAUAUGCCCAACUAAUGUUAUGAUAUCUUGGCAGUAUACAUUCCAUUUUUUUCAUCACUGUUUUUACAAAAUGUUUAUUAUGAAUAUUUUCUAAUAUAGGUCAAACAUGUUUUUAUCUGUGUCAUAUACCAUAACUCAUGAGGUCCCACGAAGUCUUUACAGAGAAAUGUUACUUGUAAAAAAAUAGAAUCUCGAUAUAUGUGGAUAAAAUGCAAACAAAAGUAAAUUGGAAAAAUAAUGAUACAUAGGAGUCCAUAUUUUAGGAAUGAAAAUUAUAUACGACAAAUGGCUGUACAAAAACAUUAAACUCAAACAGGACUAACAGGCCCCUAUUGUUAUCCGCUUCCAUUAAAUGCCCAAUGAGCAGUGAAAACUGCUCUGGUCAUGAAAUUAUGACAGGAAAAUUAUCCAGGUUGCCCUAAAUAAUCAACCCAAUGGUUACACUCAUUCACUAGUCGCCCAUCAUGCCAUAUUUGUUUAACAGAGCAAAGCUGAACAUAGUAGUUACAGAAAACUAUAAAAGAACAAAAAAAAUGUGGGCCAUUGUGCCAAAAGGCACUCUUCCAUUGGUGCCCGAAGAAUAUGCUUUUGUUAGUGGUCAAUCCUUGGCUGGUAUAAGGAGACAAACUUACUCGUGAAUUAAGUAACUUAAAUUGAAUUCAUUAAUAAAUUGUUGAAUAACACCCAUUAACAAUUUCAAGUGCAUUCUUACAUAACCGUUUUUAGUAAUAAAAUUUCAGCAUAAACUGCAAAUGUGACUCCGUCUACAGUCUCAUAUUCUGGGUUUAUUUCGUUCUCUUCAAAAUUCAUUAUUUGGAAUCCAAGCUUAGCCAAGCCAUCAAAUACACCUAAAUAUCUUUCUAUGCCUUUUCGCUUCUCUUCAAGUGGCUUUUCUUUUCGUAUUUCAUCGAAGUGGAUCUGAAAAUCAUUGGAACACGUAAGCGUUGAUGAAUAAAUAUGUUAUAAAAACACAUUCAUAAUUAAAUAAAUUCUGACAAC